UACGUAGGGCGCAAGCGUUGUCCGGAAUUAUUGGGCGUAAAGAGCUCGUAGGCGGCCAGUUGCGUCUGCUGUGAAAUCCCGGGGCUCAACCCCGGGCGUGCAGUGGAUACGGGCUGGCUAGAGGCAGGCAGGGGAGAACGGAAUUCCCGGUGUAGCGGUGAAAUGCGCAGAUAUCGGGAGGAACACCGGUGGCGAAGGCGGUUCUCUGGGCCAAGACUGACGCUGAGGCGCGACAGCGUGGGGAGCAAACAGG
rnacentral:rRNA from 1 species